UACGGGGGGGGCAAGCGUUAUUCGGAAUUAUUGGGCGUAAAGGGCGCGUAGGCGGCUAGACAAGUCAAAGGUGAAAUCCCUCGGCUCAACUGAGGAACUGCCUUUGAAACUGCAUAGCUUGAGUCCGGGAGGGGGUAGCGGAAUUCCCAGUGUAGCGGUGAAAUGCGUAGAUAUUGGGAGGAACACCAGUGGCGAAGGCGGCUACCUGGACCGGAACUGACGCUGAUGCGCGAAAGCGUGGGUAGCAAACAGG
rnacentral:rRNA from 1 species